rnacentral:lncRNA from 1 species
AUUCCAGGUGCUCUGGGGAACCGGAGGGCUCAGGGGCAGUGCUUUGGGAACCUGGCCUAUGCCUGCAGCCAGCUCGGGAACCACGGGGCUGCCGCGGAGAGCUACCUGCACGCCCUGCAAGCCUUCCGGGACUCGGGUGAGGGGAGGCACAGGCAGCCCCUUGGGGCGAGUCUGCAGCAUCCGGGAGCCGAGUGCUCUGAAGCUGGGUGAUGCUGCCUGCCGGGGAUCUUGGCUGAGCGGUGCUGGGACCGAUGCAGCCCUUUGCCUCCCAGGGGACUUGCAGGGGCAGUGGCAAGCGUGCGAGGGGCUGGGCACAGCAUGCCUCCACUUGGGAGAUCCCCAGAAAGCCAUCGGGCACUAUCAAGAGGCCCUGAUUUUGCUUUCCCACUGUCGGGACAGCCCCAGAGCUGACCACAAACGGGUCGUGCACAAGCUCACGGAUGCCAUCCAGCACCGACUCCGCUUCAGCCACCUCUCAUACCAGGGGGGCUGGGCACCCACCCCGGCGCUGGAGCCCAGCCAGCUGAGGUCUUGUUCCACACUGCCCCAUGCCAGUAGGACACAACUCCAGGGCAGGAAGGUGGGGAAAGCCCAGGCUGAGGACAAGCUGUAUAUGUACACGCCAGGAGCACAUCCCAGGUAUUCUGGCACAAGAGUGGCUCUGACUGGUGAUCUUGCACUGGAGCCCUGUAACCCACAUGGCCUCCUGGGCACCUCUGGGGAGGAUGACGAUGGUCCCAGCUCAGCUCCAGGGUAUCACAGGGAGCCCCAGGCUAACAGUAAGAGGACCACCAGCCCCCUGAAGGCAGCCAAGCUGCCCCACGCUGGCCUCCAGCUACAGAAGUACCACAUCCAACCAGAAAUGCGGCUCUCUAGUGAGCCGAGGCCUCAGGGCGUCACAACACAUUCUACAGGGCAUCAAAACUGCCAAGUCCUCCAUCCAAGGCCUCCAAAGAGGUAUGUGAUGCCUUGGGGGAGUGGGCAAGGGAGUGGACCAGAGGUUUGGGCUCCAGAGUAUCCUCUGAGGAGUGGGUUCCUCAGAGGUGAGGUGGAGACCUCAGCAGGGCUUGGGACACCUGUUUCUUGGAAUGGACACAACCCCAAGCCAAAAGUCACAAAGGCUGGGCUUUUGGCACCUUGUAGCCAACACCAAAACCAUUCCCUAUGGAUGGGGCAGCAGAUCUAAGGGUAGUUUUCAGGACCCUGGUAUGAACUUCCUGCCCACUCCUGCGUUCCAGUGCUUAAAGGGGCUCCAACAGAGCUAGAG